GCGCUCAGCCCUGCGGCCCAGCUGGCGGAAGCGGAAGCGCCCGGCGGGGCGUUUGGGCAGCAUCGCCGCCGCGGAGCGACAAACAUGCAACAUGGCAGCAGCCAUGGAAACUGAACAGCCAGGCCUUGAAGUCUUUGAAACUGCGGGCUGUGAGGAGCAGCUGCAGAGAGAGGAGCAGCCAAAACCUGAACCUUUCUAUGUAGAGAGACAUUCCUGGAGCCAGCUUCGGAAACUGCUCACGGAUACACGGAAAUAUCAUGGGUAUAUGAUGGCAAAAGCCCCACAUGACUUCACGUUUGUUAAGAAAAAUGAUCCUGAAGGACCUCAUUCUGAUAGGAUUUACUAUUUGGCAAUGUCUGGGGAGAAUAGGGAGAACACGCUCUUCUACUCUGAAAUUCCAAAAACCGUGAACAAAGCUGCUGUCCUGUUGCUUUCCUGGAAGCCUCUCUUGGAUCUUUUUCCGGCCGUCCUGGACUAUGGUAUGUACUCUCGGGAAGAGGAGUUGCUACGGGAGAGGAAGCGAAUUGGCACUGUUGGGAUUGCCUCCUAUGACUACCAUCGAGAAAGUGGCACCUUUCUGUUUCAGGCUGGGAGUGGAAUUUAUCAUGUAAAAGAUGGAGGCCCUCAUGGAUUCACUCAACAGCCUUUGAGACCCAUUCUGGUGGAGACCAGUUGUCCAAAUAUCCGGAUGGAUCCUAAGCUUUGUCCAGCUGAUCCAAAUUGGAUUGCCUUUAUCCAUAGCAAUGACAUCUGGAUAUCUAAUAUAGAAACCAGAGAAGAAAGGAGGCUAACAUUUGUGCACAAUGAACUUGCCAAUGUUGAGGAAGAUCCAAAAUCUGCUGGCGUGGCUACUUUUGUGCUGCAGGAAGAGUUUGACAGAUACACUGGCUAUUGGUGGAGUCCAAAGGCAGAGCCAACACUGAAUGGGGGGAAAGUUCUUCGAAUUCUUUAUGAAGAAAACGAUGAGUCAGAGGUGGAAAUCAUCCAUGUCACGUCGCCCAUGUUGGAGACAAGAAGAACAGAUUCCUUCCGGUACCCCAAAACUGGUACAGCAAAUCCAAAGGUCACUUUCAAGAUUUCUGAAGUGGUGAUCAAUGAAGAAGGAAGAAUUGCAGAUGUUGUGGAUAAAGAGCUAGUUCAGCCGUUCGAGAUCCUCUUUGAAGGAGUAGAGUACAUUGCUAGAGCUGGGUGGACGCCAGAAGGAAAAUACGUCUGGUCCAUCUUACUGGAUCGUUCCCAGACUCGACUGCAGAUAGUCUUGAUUCCCCCUGCAUUAUUCAUCCCAGUAGAAGAUGAUGCAAUGGAAAGACAGAAACUUAUCGACGCUGUGCCAGAUUCUGUUACACCUUUAAUUAUUUAUGAGGAAACAACAGACAUAUGGAUAAAUAUCCAUGAUAUCUUCUACGUUUUCCCUCAAACCCAUGAAGAUGAGAUAGAGUUCAUUUUUGCCUCUGAGUGUAAAACAGGAUUCAGACACCUAUACAAAAUUGUCUCCAUUUUGAAGGAGAGCAAAUAUAAACGAUCAUCCGGAGGACUCCCUGCUCCAAGUGACUUCAAGUGCCCCAUCAAAGAGGAGAUUGCCAUUACCAGUGGGGAAUGGGAAGUGCUUGGCAGACAUGGGUCCAAUAUCUAUGUAGAUGAAGCCAAAAAACUGGUGUAUUUUCAAGGCACGAAAGACUCUCCUUUAGAGCAUCACUUGUAUGUUGUUAACUACAAGAAUCCUGGAGAAGUGAAGCGACUGACGGAACGUGGUUACUCCCAUGCCUGCUGUGUCAGCCAGGAUUGUGACAUGUUCAUCAGCAAGUACAGCAAUCAGAAGAACCCACACUGUGUGUCCCUUUACCGGCUGACAGGACAUGAAGGUGACGCAGCUCAAAGGACAAAGGAAUUUUGGGCUACAAUUUUAGAUUCAGCAGGUCCUCUUCCUGAUUACAUUCCCCCAGAAGUGUUCUCCUUUGAGAGCUCCACAGGGUUUACACUCUAUGGGAUGAUGUACAAACCUCACAAUCUGCAACCUGGAAAGAAGUACCCUACUGUGAUCUUCAUCUAUGGAGGCCCUCAGGUGCAGCUGGUGAACAAUCGAUUUAAAGGACUCAAAUACUUCCGAUUGAACACCUUGGCCUCUUUAGGCUACGUUGUUGUUGUUAUUGACAACCGAGGGUCCUGCCACCGAGGGCUGAAGUUUGAAGGAGCCUUUAAAUACAAAAUGGGACAAAUAGAAAUUGAUGACCAAGUGGAAGGGCUGCACUACUUAGCGUCCCAGUAUGACUUCAUUGAUUUGGAUCGUGUUGGCAUUCACGGCUGGUCCUAUGGAGGCUACCUCUCUCUUAUGGCUUUAAUGCAGAGGUAGCCAUCGCUGGAGCACCCGUCACGCUGUGGAUCUUUUAUGACACGGGUUACACAGAGCGCUACAUGGGCCACCCGGAGCACAACGAGCAGGGCUACUACCUGGGAUCAGUGGCCAUGCAAGCUGAGAAGUUUCCUUCUGAACCGAACCGUUUGCUGCUGCUACAUGGGUUCUUGGAUGAGAACGUUCACUUUGCACACACUAGUAUUUUGCUCAGCUUUUUAGUGAGAGCUGGGAAGCCAUACGACCUGCAGAUCUACCCUCAGGAGAGACACAGUAUAAGGGGCCCUGAGUCAGGAGAGCACUAUGAACUCCAUCUACUGUAUUACCUGCAAGAGAAUCUGGGCUCUCGCAUUGCUGCCCUGAAGGCAAUGUAGGUGACCUCUGCAGAACUCUGCUCAGCUGGCUGCUGUACCACGAGGAGAUAAGAAACUAGAGAAAAGAGAAUGGAACUUUGCAUUUUGGUGCCUGCCUCAUGUACACACACGCAUCCACACAGAGACACUUUUUUAAAGUAAAUUUGGUGCCAUGUAGGGAACUAAAGGAUGGUGACCUAAUGACUUUAAAGCUUAAGGUGUAAAUAAAAUCCGGUGUCUGUGGUGUGAUGCAGUACCACGGGUGUUCUCUUGGGGGAGGAGCUGCAACUGAAAAUAACAUACUUCCACAGCACCAGAUCCUGUUGUUUUAAAAAGACUCUGAUCUAAUCAGUGUGUUUUUACAGUGUGUUCCUUGGUACCAUAACACUAGAAAAUCUACUCCCUACACUGCAGGAAUUUAACUGGAUGGUCACAAUGUGUACAUUACGUUUUGAAUGUCAUUGUAUAGCUGUUACGCUUUAUAAAUGGGACGUGUCUCACUCCAGAAAAGCUGGUACCAUGUUAGACUCAUCCCUGUCGAGCUACUGAUUGUUUUUUACGGAGAAACACUUUUAAGCUGCCCUGAGAAGGUUUUCAGUUCUGGGUUCGGUUCAGCUGAUGCCGGGUUCUUUUCAGUAAUUACUUCCCUUCCCAGGAUAAGUCACACUGUUUUUCCUUCCAGCAGACUGAUAACCUGUCCUGCCUGUACUUGAUUUCACCUGGGGAACUGAGGUGAUGUUUUACUGUGAUGUGAGCAUAACAAUCUUUUAUUCUGGGAUGCAAACUAAUUUAAGGCAAAUUGCAGAAACUUUGUACAUUUUAAAAGAAGCUUAAAAGUGCAGCCCGUUCCUCGCUAACAUUUUUCCCUGAUGUUCAUUCUGGAGCUGUUUUUGCAGUACUGUUUUCUUACUGUCACAUUAGCAUGAUGUAGAUAUAAUGCAUCCUGUUACAGUUUUAAGAUUCAACGCUCUGAUUCAAAGGUCUGCAGAGGAUUUGGUGAGGAGAGACCCUACAAACACUACACGUCGGGCAAUGUGAGCUGCUUCAUUUGAUUUCCUGCUUUAUUCAAGGCACUGUUUCCAGGCUCUGCUCAGUCCUCUGUUCCUGGGUCAUUUCCAGCACUGCUGCAUAGCAUGACUGUGAUGCUGUGUUUGAGAACCCCUUCCAGCAUAGCUUAAGGUAACCCCCCUAAGCCUAAAGGAUAUGAAAGCCCCAUUUUAGUUAGUGAGGUUUUAACUAAGCAGCAGGUUUGGCUAAAAAGUGUCUUAUGUGAAGUCACUUUGAACUUGCAACAAGUUGUUCAAGAUAGAAAUCCAUGGCAAAAUGAUUCUUUUUAAUCCAGGGAAUUCUCCCCUUGGGAACCUGCCUCUGAGACUCUCGUAAGUUUUAAUGGUUUUCUUAGAAACCUAAGAACUUCCUUUCCUUCCCUUUUUGGUGCUAGAGAGAAGCUGAGCGUGGUUUUUCUUUUCAUCUUUUGAAAACGUGGAAUCACUCUCAGUAUUCACACUCUUAGUUCUCCACAUGUGCCCUUGUUAUUUCCUCGCUGUGGAACUGUUCAGCUUGGCCAUGAGACUCUGGGAUUUAACACGAUCUGAUUGUAUUGUAUCACACCGCAUCGUUUUACAGUCAGGCUGCUGAGCAGAUGCAUUGACGCUGUCAGAGCCACUGCAGUUACAUGGGUGCUGAGUCUGUAUGUGAGGGCAGGAUCUGGUUUGGGGAUUAUGCAAACGAUAGCCAAAGCAAAUGGGUCUGCAGUAGGUGUGUGUUUCCUUGACACAGGAGUGUUUGGUUGGGGGGAAGGGGGGGCUGUUUUUCAGAUCUCAGUGUUUUUUAGUGGAUGAGCUGGAAUCCCCUUAGUGGGUCAGUAAGAGCCUUACUGCUGGGACGGGGGAAAGGGCACGGCAUGCAAAGGGCUCCUUCUAACAUCUCCUCCUUGAGUAAUGAACUGUGGCUGAACCUGAGCUGUCUGCUGUGGUCAGUGCUGAGAGAUGAGUAAUUGUGCUGAAGCUUUUGGUCUAGAGCAGCGUGGCAGGGAGUAUAGAAAGGUAAAAGCCGUCACGAUGGAGUUCUUUUCUGUUCCUGAUGUGUUUAUGCUGUAUGAUAUAUACAUAUAUCUAUAUCUGUUCAUAUAUACAUAUAUGUAUAAAAUUACACGUGGAUAGCAUCACCUUUUCCAAGGUUGUUUAUAUUUUGUUCAAUAUUUAACUUGCUUUUGGGGGCGUUUCUGCUCUUUUUGUAGAGGUGAGUACCCUUGAAUGUAAAUGUUUACGAUUUUUAAGACAAAAUGGAUCCUUUUGUGUAAAAAAGAAAAAAAGAAAAAGAAAAAAAGGCUUCAUGAAGCAGUGCUUCUUUGGCAACUGAAGAACUAAAUGUUAUACAAGUAAACCAGGCUGGAUUUUGAUUUAGCACGGGAUUGUAAGUGCUGACAUAAACUUUAAAAUAAUGCAUCUUUACUUUGUUUUAAAUAUAUCUAUUGGAGAGCAAUUAAAGUGCAAAGCACUGUAAGGACUCUAUUUUGCAACAUAAAUUACAUAUUCUUUCUUUCCUACAGGAGUUUUUCCUUUUUACAGCAGUCAAGCACUUUCCAACCCCGUGCUCUCUCAUCCUGCUGAAGUGCUGGGAGGAUUUAUCAGCACAGCUUUGCAGUUCUGGUCAGAGAUGCCUCGUGUGAGCUUUGAGAUUGAGGUAGGGAGGUGCCGAGGGCUCCCAGGGCACAGAUGGGUGCCUGGGGGUUGGAUACAGCAGUGUGCUCUGUGCCCAGCAGGCACCUGCUCUGAGCAGGAUGCAGCCUUCACUGCCCAGUGGAUGGUGGUUUCUUCCCAGCAGUUGCACUGACAUCUUUUGAGAUAAAUGUUUAAAUUUCUUAUACUUAGAAGAAUACAUGAAACGUGGGGAUGUGAGCAGUGACGCUGAAGUUGGAUGGUGAUGCCAGCAGUGGUGGUGGCUGGGAUUUGUUGGUGUCGUUUCUGUGUUAGCACGUUCUUUGUCCCUUCAUACAGCAGCUUUCAGGAUCUUUUUCCAAAUGGGGUUUCACCCUUCACACAGGAAUUGCACUCCCUACCCCGUCCCUUUGUUUCCAAUGGUCUUUUAUUCAGAACAAAAUAUAAUUGGUAAUUAACCAGAGCUGCUUAGUUUUUAUAAGCUCUCUUAACUUCAAAAUAUUCGUUAAUGAAAUAAUGAUUUCAAACCUCGUGUAAAGCUUUGAAAAUCAAUUUGCUUCAUUGUAUCACAAUGGAAAAUGUAUUCUCUGGUUAUUAGUGCUGUUAGGGGGAAAGAGAGGGAAAUACUUUGAGCAGAGAUGGGUUCUGCUUCCUCCUGAGCACAGCAUGUGUCUCACACUGCAGAGCUUGCCCAGCUCUGACCGUGGGGUCCCAACACCUUCCAUGGGAGAAGCACCAGGUUGUGCUUCUGUGUCCAUACACAAGGCUGUUUUGCUGCUGGCAUGACAUUUGGCUUCUGGUGUGGCAAUAAUAGAGUACAAGUGAAUGAAAUAAUGGCCCAGAUUAGGAUACUGCCUUGAAUUGCCUGUUUAUUUGAGUAGCAGAACCUUGCAAAGACUUCUGUGCCCCCCUCGCGGGUCUUUGGGACAGUCCUUUUGCAGAGAGCCCUGGUGUGGUUUGUACGUAGAUGUUCUGCACAGACAAAGUUCAGGUUUUUAAUUCUAGAAGAAGUGCCUGCUGUUUGCAUUAACAGAACUGCAUGUCUCACCCCAGUGGGUUUAUGGUCUCCCUCCCCCACCUUUCUAGCGACUUAGCUUUUAAUCGUGUAAAGUGGAGACAUUUGUUUUGCUGCUUUUUAUUACAAAACCUUUGUGGCAAUAAAGAUGCUGCUAAAUAAA